UGAUCCACUUUCAGAGCUCGAUGAGAU
rnacentral:misc_RNA from 1 species